rnacentral:lncRNA from 1 species
ACCUAUGCUUCUCUUGUCUUAUAAAGCAUCAUUGUAACAAUUGUGCAACUUUCUGAAGUGCUUUUCUAAAGUGCCGUUAAUGUUAUUGAACCACGACUAGUUAGCUCCACAUACUGUGAACAACUUUAUUUUUGCGGCCUCAAUAUUUCGCAAAUUUGGAGAAUAUUUCAUGCGCAGAAAAUUUUGCGAGGAGUGAACGAGGCUGGUGUGCUGCAGUAAUCAAAUGACAGAUGAAGAAAUAAACUUCAACAUAUCGACUGACCUCACUGAAGUGAGCGCCGCUAUCCUUCAGCAUCCCGCUCCACUCCCGGCUGUUCGAUGAAACCAUGGCCUGCCUUGCGGCUCCUG